CACUCCUGCGGGAGGCAGCAGUGGGGAAUAUUGGACAAUGGGCGCAAGCCUGAUCCAGCCAUGCCGCGUGAGUGAUGAAGGCCCUAGGGUUGUAAAGCUCUUUCACCGGUGAAGAUAAUGACGGUAACCGGAGAAGAAGCCCCGGCUAACUUCGUGCCAGCAGCCGCGGUAAUACGAAGGGGGCUAGCGUUGUUCGGAUUUACUGGGCGUAAAGCGCACGUAGGCGGACUAUCAAGUCAGGGGUGAAAUCCCGGGGCUCAACCCCGGAACUGCCUUUGAUACUGGUAGUCUUGAGUUCGAGAGAGGUGAGUGGAAUUCCGGGUGUAGAGGUGAAAUUCGUAGAUAUUCAGAGGAACACCAGUGGCGAAGGCGGCUCACUGGCUCGAUACUGACGCUGAGGUGCGAAAGCGUGGGGAGCAAACAGGAUUAGAAACCCUGGUAGUCCCAUG
rnacentral:rRNA from 1 species